CAGCCACUACAACAACAACUCCAUGGACAGCACCAUCGAUAUUUUAUCCAUUCGGUGCAGCAGCAGGAGACACUGAAUUUCUUGAAAAUGGUGGUGAUACCUAUCAACUUGUUGACUUCUCCGCUCCAUUUACGUACUUUGGCCGCAAAUACAACAACACUUACAUUAAUAAUAACGGACUCCUUACAUUCAACCAACCUUUACCAGAAGCUCAACCUUACGCUUUUCCAACACAUGGAGCUGAAGAUUACAUUGCCGCCCUCUGGACUGAGCUUGAUGACGUUGGUAUAGGUAGAUACUCAUAUCAGGAGUACACCAAUGGAAGUGUCCUCACUCGCGCCACUCAGGAUAUAAACCAGUAUUUCCCUGGACGGGGCUUCACUGCUUCUUGGGUCUUUGUUGCA